CAUAGGUUAAUGAGGCGAACCGGGGGAACUGAAACAUCUAAGUACCCCGAGGAAAAGAAAUCAACCGAGAUUCCCCCAGUAGCGGCGAGCGAACGGGGAGGAGCCCAGAGCCUGAAUCAGCAUGUGUGUUAGUGGAAGCGUCUGGAAAGGCGCGCGAUACAGGGUGACAGCCCCGUACACAAAAGCGCAUGUGCUGUGAGCUCGAUGAGUAGGGCGGGACACGUGGUAUCCUGUCUGAAUAUGGGGGGACCAUCCUCCAAGGCUAAAUACUCCUGACUGACCGAUAGUGAACCAGUACCGUGAGGGAAAGGCGAAAAGAACCCCGGCGAGGGGAGUGAAAAAGAACCUGAAACCGUGUACGUACAAGCAGUGGGAGCACCCUUUGGGGUGUGACUGCGUACCUUUUGUAUAAUGGGUCAGCGACUUAUAUUCUGUAGCAAGGUUAACCGUAUAGGGGAGCCGGAGGGAAACCGAGUCUUAACCGGGCGUUAAGUUGCAGGGUAUAGACCCGAAACCCGGUGAUCUAGCCAUGGGCAGGUUGAAGGUUGGGUAACACUAACUGGAGGACCGAACCGACUAAUGUUGAAAAAUUAGCGGAUGACCUGUGGCUGGGGGUGAAAGGCCAAUCAAACCGGGAGAUAGCUGGUUCUCCCCGAAAGCUAUUUAGGUAGCGCCUCGUGAAUUCAUCUCCGGGGGUAGAGCACUGUUUCGGCUAGGGGGCCAUCCCGGCUUACCAACCCGAUGCAAACUGCGAAUACCGGAGAAUGUUAUCACGGGAGACACACGGCGGGUGCUAACGUCCGUCGUGAAGAGGGAAACAACCCAGACCGCCAGCUAAGGUCCCAAAGUCAUGGUUAAGUGGGAAACGAUGUGGGAAGGCCCAGACAGCCAGGAUGUUGGCUUAGAAGCAGCCAUCAUUUAAAGAAAGCGUAAUAGCUCACUGGUCGAGUCGGCCUGCGCGGAAGAUGUAACGGGGCUAAACCAUGCACCGAAGCUGCGGCAGCGACACUCAGGUGUUGUUGGGUAGGGGAGCGUUCUGUAAGCCUGCGAAGGUGUGUCGUGAGGCAUGCUGGAGGUAUCAGAAGUGCGAAUGCUGACAUAAGUAACGAUAAAGCGGGUGAAAAGCCCGCUCGCCGGAAGACCAAGGGUUCCUGUCCAACGUUAAUCGGGGCAGGGUGAGUCGACCCCUAAGGCGAGGCCGAAAGGCGUAGUCGAUGGGAAACGGGUUAAUAUUCCCGUACUUGGUGUUACUGCGAAGGGGGGACGGAGAAGGCUAUGUUGGCCGGGCGACGGUUGUCCCGGUUUAAGCGUGUAGGUGUGUGUUCCAGGUAAAUCCGGUUCACUUUAACACUGAGGCGUGAUGACGAGGCACUACGGUGCUGAAGCAACAAAUGCCCUGCUUCCAGGAAAAGCCUCUAAGCAUCAGGUAACAUCAAAUCGUACCCCAAACCGACACAGGUGGUCAGGUAGAGAAUACCAAGGCGCUUGAGAGAACUCGGGUGAAGGAACUAGGCAAAAUGGUGCCGUAACUUCGGGAGAAGGCACGCUGACACGUAGGUGAAGUGAUUUACUCACGGAGCUGAAGUCAGUCGAAGAUACCAGCUGGCUGCAACUGUUUAUUAAAAACACAGCACUGUGCAAACACGAAAGUGGACGUAUACGGUGUGACGCCUGCCCGGUGCCGGAAGGUUAAUUGAUGGGGUCAGCGCAAGCGAAGCUCCUGAUCGAAGCCCCGGUAAACGGCGGCCGUAACUAUAACGGUCCUAAGGUAGCGAAAUUCCUUGUCGGGUAAGUUCCGACCUGCACGAAUGGCGUAAUGAUGGCCAGGCUGUCUCCACCCGAGACUCAGUGAAAUUGAACUCGCUGUGAAGAUGCAGUGUACCCGCGGCAAGACGGAAAGACCCCGUGAACCUUUACUAUAGCUUGACACUGAACAUUGAGCCUUGAUGUGUAGGAUAGGUGGGAGGCUUUGAAGUGUGG
rnacentral:rRNA from 1 species